rnacentral:rRNA from 1 species
ACGCUGGCGGCAGGCCUAACACAUGCAAGUCGAGCGGUAGCACAGAGAGCUUGCUCUCGGGUGACGAGCGGCGGACGGGUGAGUAAUGUCUGGGAAACUGCCUGAUGGAGGGGGAUAACUACUGGAAACGGUAGCUAAUACCGCAUAACGUCUUCGGACCAAAGUGGGGGACCUUCGGGCCUCAUGCCAUCAGAUGUGCCCAGAUGGGAUUAGCUAGCAGGUGAGGUAAUGGCUCACCUGGGCGACGAUCCCUAGCUGGUCUGAGAGGAUGACCAGCCACACUGGAACUGAGACACGGUCCAGACUCCUACGGGAGGCAGCAGUGGGGAAUAUUGCACAAUGGGCGCAAGCCUGAUGCAGCCAUGCCGCGUGUAUGAAGAAGGCCUUCGGGUUGUAAAGUACUUUCAGCGGGGAGGAAGGCGAUAAGGUUAAUAACCUUAUUGAUUGACGUUACCCGCAGAAGAGGCACCGGCUAACUCCGUGCCAGCAGCCGCGGUAAUACGGAGGGUGCAAGCGUUAAUCGGAAUUACUGGGCGUAAAGCGCACGCAGGCGGUCUGUCAAGUCGGAUGUGAAAUCCCCGGGCUCAACCUGGGAACUGCAUUCGAAACUGGCAGGCUAGAGUCUUGUAGAGGGGGGUAGAAUUCCAGGUGUAGCGGUGAAAUGCGUAGAGAUCUGGAGGAAUACCGGUGGCGAAGGCGGCCCCCUGGACAAAGACUGACGCUCAGGUGCGAAAGCGUGGGGAGCAAAC